UAUGCUAUACCCAUCUAGUACUUUAGUAACUGUUAGUACAGUCGACUGGCUGAACUCCCGUCACAACUCCUCAGUCCUCGCUAGCUGACUGGCUUUCCGCUUUCCAAGUACUUUCUGUUCGGCAAAAGCACCUUGCUCCUGUUGUGUGGUCCACCUAACCAAGUUACUCCUGUUGCCGUGUUCCACCUAACCAAGUUACUCCUGUUGCCGUGUUCCACCUAACCAAGUUACUCCUGUUGCCGUGUUCCACCUAACCAAGUUACUCCUGUUGCCGUGUUCCACCUAACCAAGUUACUCCUGUUGCCGUGUUCCACCUAACCAAGUUACUCCUGUUGCCGUGUUCCACCUAACCACCUCACAGAGUACAUUGGACGUUGCAGCCAUGGAAUCGCUGUACAGGGCAUCCUCCUCAUCCAGUGGCACAGCAACAUGGAUGAACAGUGCCAUGACUAGCUAUCCCGUGCCGACGGAAUGGCAGCCGCAAACCAAGGACUUUGAGAUGAAAGUGGUCUCGCCGAACUCGGCGGAGUUUCGCAAGAUCCAGUCACACGUACAUGCCUCACUUUCCCGGGCCAAGAUC